AUGCAUAUGUACAGUGUAAUAAUUAGGUUCUGUUUGUUUCUGUAUGGUUUUUUGAAAAUAUGUAGUUGUGCAUCUGAAUAUUUCUUUUGUUUUAAACAUAGAACUGGUAUGACCUAUUACUCUUUGAAAGGACUAGAGGCUUCGAGCUUAAGGAAUUGGAGAGAAAUAAGUUGUCUAUUGAAAGAGUCCCGUGACUUCACGUUACAUUGAACAUCACAUUUUGUUGGUAAGGCAUUGAGAAAUGUUGUUUUUUAAUAGUUAUUACAUUGUUUUUAUUCUUGUAAAUACGUAUUCAUUAUGUAGACUAGUUAAGAGUUUAGGUGGCAUCAGGUAUCCUACUCUAUUAAAAAGGAAUCCCUUUGCCCUGUCUUACAUUCAGACGUGAUCAAAAUAGAAUCACGAUGCCUAGCACCCUUAGACUGGGAACAAAGUCUAAAUGCUCUUUUUUUUAUAUCAGAUUACAACAAAUGUUUGUAUGGUUUUAAUAAAACAAUUAAUAAAAUAUGCAAUGGUUGUCUUUGCUGGUGAGUAUUUACUAUUAAUUUACUGUACAAGAAGAGGAAGUUACAGUAAAACACAAUAUCAGUAGUUAGUGCUUUAAUGAAACAUGAUUAAAAUUUAAAAAAAAAAUUUUUUAAUGAUAAUCAACAAACAUGUGCAAUCUGUGUGCAGUAUUUACUCUGGCUGUUUAUAAAACUAUUUUCACUGCUCUAAUGCUUUGUAUCAGUUCCAACAUAUUUGUGUGUUGUGCAAUAGAUAAGCAAUAUGAUUAUGAACAGACUAUUGAUCACAUAAAUACCUAAGAAAGCUAAUGAAACAUUAUUAUUUAUAUGCAUACAUCACAAUGACUCUAUGAUGUUUAAUGUUUGCAUUUGUACACAAUCUUGGACUGAUGCUGCAGAGGAAAUUUAAAAUCAUGUUGUUCUAAAUCGUAUUAUAUUUUAGAUAUUGUAACUGCAUUUAUCACAGGUAAAUUCACUGACAUUAGUGUCAAUUAGUUUAGUGACUUAUACAUAUAAACAUAUACAUAUAUAUUUUUCCCUCUCUUUUUUGUCUUGUCUAGUCCUCGUUAUUGUUGAGGAAACCUAAUAAAUUAACCUAAUAUAAGUUUAUUCAAUAUCAGUUAAUUAAGUGUCCAAAAGUAGCCUAAUGAUAGUGUAUUCCAAUAACUACACACAUCAUAAUCUCAUCUGUUUAGACAAGUAGCCUACCAGAUAUGGUGUCAUGAAAUAUUUCAUGACCUAAAUAUAUACAACUUAAUUUGUAUUUAAAGUGAUGACAAUUUAAUAAAAACAUUCUAAGUUAUUAAGUAUUACUUUAAUUUCCAGUUAUUCAAACAGCAAUUAAAUUAUGGAGAAAGCCAGCAAAGAACAUUCACAUGAAUUUUAUCACUUACUUCAUGCUAUAGCCAGAGUUUAAGCAGUCAAAACUCAUGUUAUAAUCAAUGAAGCUGUACAUACUCUAUGAUAAAUUAGUCUCUCAACUUACACCAUACAUACAGUGCAUCUGCACUUUGUUGCUUAUGAUGAGGGAGUUCAUUCAGCAAGCACACACACUGAAGAAAACUCUGGGGUGUCAGUGAAUUUGGGGGGUGAGGGAGUAGCUCUAUCGAGUUUGGCUCUAUAUUAUAAUUUAUUUAUCUUCAUAAAAAAAAAAAAAAAGAAAAAAAAAAAGACAAACUCGACGGAGCUAACCCCUAGCCCCUAAAAUUCAGCUCUCUUUGCUCUCUUUUUUUUCUCUCAGCCAUAUAUGUUGAUUAUGUUUCCUGUGUUGUGCUUUUAUUGAAUAGCUCAUCCAAUAAAAUAAAUGAGCGAUUUACACCAAUAUGUGAUGCAGCUGUUGGGCAGUCAACCCUGGUUGUGGAAUAAAUGAGCACUGUUACCUAAAUAUUUUUUUUGUUGCACUUGUGUAGGCACAAAGUGAUUUUUUUCUUUCUCUCUUUUCUUUUAAAAGCUGUUAAAUUAUUAAGCAGUUUCUCAUAUUUUUCCCCUUGUAAUUUAUUUGGUGACCACUGGGAGUAGUUCUGGUUAUAAAAUUUUCUUACUUGGUUUUAUUCCCUGGGGUGAUGUGUUGUAAAGCAAAAGUCAAAUUUUUGCAAGUUCGCUGCAUCCUAACAGUAUAGAGUUUUUUGUCUUUAUUUAAAAUCAACACUUUAUUUAUUAAGAACAGCACAUUCUAACAUAACGCAGUGGCAGCCCCUGUAUAGAAUGAAUGAUCGAUUCUCAAGGCAUCGAUGUCAAAUAAUUCAGCACCACCUCCACUGUAUCGUCGCACAUAAGGAUGUUUAUCUUAAGCAGCCUCCUAAGGGAAUAUGGCUAGAACAGGUGUACCUUUAGUUAAAACAUAGCCUACCUUUGGAGUCUUCCUAGUGCCCUAAGAGACAGCGUUUUCGGGGAACGCAGCCCAGGACCUUGAAUGCGUAAAUUGCAUGGCUGUCUGUUGAGCAGGUGUAGGGAAUGUUGAUCCUGGAGGGCCGGUGUCCCUGCAGAGUUUAUUUCCAAUCCUAAAAAAAAAAAAAAAAAACUACCUAUAUCCUGAAGACCUUGAUUAGCUUGUUCAGGUGUGUUUGAUUAGGACUGGAACUAAACUCUGCAGGCUCACCGGCCCUCCAGCAUCAACGUUCCAAGUGCCCAAGCUGUAGAGGGACAUAAAGCUCUUGAAUUUCAUCAGAAAUUUAUUUUCUUUUUGUUCCAAACAGGGAUGCUAUUAUUGACUGUUUAACUGUUAACCCAAAAAAAAAAAAAAAAAAAAAAAAAAAAAAAAAAAAACUAUUAAUACUUAAUAAAGUUUUUUUUUUUUUUUUCUGUAUGGUUAAAGAAAAGUAUGCUAUAGCCUAUUUGUUAACCCACGGGAAAAAUCAAGCCUGGGCAACAGUUUAAAAGCAGUCUAUCUAUUUUGGAAAAACACUGACUUUUCACCCUGCAUCCAACACAAGCUUGACUGAUCAUGGGUCGAGAGUAAGGAGAGAUGACUGACAGGCCAUACUGGAGGAUUUGCUGCUCAACAGAUCCUGAGCUCUUUGACAAAUAUCUUAUCUUGCAAGAUGUGCUUCCUUUAAAAGAGUGCAUGUGAACUCAAAAUUGAAAGUGAAAGUAAAUAAUGAGUGCUCCUUCAAUAGUGAUUUAGAGGUUCCCUAAUGCACAAAUUAUACAUACCAAAAUUAUAUACAAUUCGAUGCUUGUGGGAGCAAGUAGUAGGGUGUUGACACAAAAAAAUCUUUGCAGAAGUGGGGCAGUAAUGGUCAGAAAUCCAGCAGGAGCAUCAUUAAGAAAACAGUUCCAUGCAGAACUCUACACCAGACUAUCCACACAGCAAGUCGAUUAAUAAAAACUAGACACAUUGUGCUUUUACAUAGAGCUAUAUUUGAGUAACUAUGUUGAAAAAAAAAAAAAGACUCUUUAAGGUGCACGGAAGGAUUCAGUGUUUUUUUUAUUUUAUUUUAUUUUUUAUCUUAAUUUGUAAAUGAAGUGAAAACUAUUUAGUGUAUGCCUAAUUAAUACAAAAUACGGUCUCUCAAAGUAUUUAUUACAAAUCAGCUUAGAUUUUUU
ensembl:lncRNA